rnacentral:rRNA from 1 species
CUAGUAAUCGCGGAUCAGCACGCCGCGGUGAAUACGUUCCCGGGCCUUGUACACACCGCCCGUCACACCAUGGAAGUCUGCAAUGCCCGAAGCCGGUGGCCUAACCACUUAUGUGGAAGGAGCCGUCUAAGGCAGGGCAGAUGACUGGGGUGAAGUCGUAACAAGGUAGC